rnacentral:rRNA from 1 species
UACGGAGGGUGCGAGCGUUAUCCGGAAUCACUGGGUUUAAAGGGUGCGUAGGCGGCUCGGUAAGUCAGUUGUGAAAGCCCCUUGCUUAACGAGGGAGGUGCGAUUGAUACUGUGGAGCUUGAAUCGGGAUGAGGCAGGCGGAAUGUGGCAUGUAGCGGUGAAAUGCAUAGAUAUGCCAGAGAACACCGAUUGCGAAGGCAGCCUGCUGGGCCUGUAUUGACGAUGAGGCACGAAAGCGUGGGGAGCAAACAGG